rnacentral:misc_RNA from 1 species
GUUCAUGCCAUUAGUCGCUGCGGCAUCGUUUGUGCAAUCAAAUGAUAUUAAAUUAUUGAUCCAUGUUCUAGUUUCAUGACCUUCCCAAUUAUUUUAUUUUGAAUUAGGUUCUUGAUGGAUAAAAUGUGCCAUUUUAGCAUUCUUUCUAGGAAUUGAAUGUGCAUUACUUCAUAAUGUGUUCAAGGCAGUGGCAGACAAGAUCUA